AUGUCAUUCUUCUCCUUGCAGGCUCCGUCGUGGUGCUCUCACCCGUUUCAUGCCACUCUGGGUGAAAACAUGAUCUUCGGCGUCAGACGGUGGAGGCUCCUAUGCUCGUAUCCUUCCCGAAGGCAUCAUCUUGGAGUCCUCGCUCUGGUCGUGUCCAUCUCACCGCUCCUCGGUGGAUUGCUCAUCUUGGUGGUGGUCUCCGUCAGCCCAAGCGGUCAUUUGCUUAUCAUUAGGUUGCUUGUUCGUCGAUGGGGUGGUGUUUCAGUGCCCGACACCUUUGUAUCUUGCCUUGUGUGUGCGUUGAGUGUGGUGGUGGAGUGCGUUUGUAUCUUCGUGCUGGAGUUGUGGUGA
rnacentral:rRNA from 1 species